rnacentral:lncRNA from 1 species
GGGAAGGGAAGCAACUUGCCUUGUUAAAGCAGGGAGGACAGAAAUCAUAAAACAAGAAGUGCUGCUAAUAAUAAUGAAAAAUAUUAGCUUAGUAAAAUAAUUUCCUGCUGCUUUCACAGACUUCAUCAGUUGUACUCACCCUUGAUUACUCUCUGCAGGUUGACUGACUGAGCAGCAAUGGCACAAGAAGCAGCCCACCCAGUGGUGUGAGGUACAAAGAAGCAUAGAAUCCAUACACAUCUUCUUCAGUUCUUCUGAUCAAGAAAGCUUUCAUAUAUGAGAAUAAUAAGUAUUAAAAACAAGC